GGUUUAAAGAAAUUGUGGGGGGUCAAUUUUUUCUCAUUUCAGAUUUCAGAAAUUAAAAAGAAUCAUUCUUCAAAUAUUAUUUUUUUUUCAAAUUUCAAAUAUUGAAAAAUUUCAAGAAGUAAUCUUUAAUUGGACAGUAUGGCGCAUUAUAUUUGUAAAAUCUUUGACCACAUUUAUUUAUUUGUUAUGCCGAAUCUAACCAUGUAUUUAGAUUUUUAAUUUUGGGUCCAGUUUUCAAAUUGGUCUACAUUAAGGUCCAAAGGGUCCAAAAUUAAACUUUGUUUGAUUUUAACAAAAAUUGAAUAUAUGGGGUUCUUUGAUAUGCUGAAUCUAAACAUGUAUUUAGAUUUUUGAUUUUUGGCCCAGUUUUCAAGUUGGUCCAAAUUGGGGUCCAAAAUUAAACUUUGUUUGAUUUCAACAAAAAUUGAAUAUAUGGGGUUCUUUGAUAUGCUGAAUCUAACCAUGUAUUUAGAUUUUUUAUUUGUGGCCCAGUUUUCAAGUUGGUCCAAAUUGGGGUCCAAAAUUAAUCUUUGUUUGAUUUCAACAAAAAUUGAAUAUAUGGGGUUCUUUGAUAUGCUGAAUCUAACCAUGUAUUUAGAUUUUUUAUUUGUGGCCCAGUUUUCAAGUUGGUCCAAAUUUGGGUCCAAAAUUAAACUUUGUUUGAUUUCAACAAAAAUUGAAUAUAUGGGGUUCUUUGAUAUGCUGAAUCUAACCAUGUAUUUAGAUUUUUUAUUUGUGGACCCUGCUAUCAAAUUGGUUCAUAUUGAGGUCAAAAGGGUCCAAAAUUAAACUUUGUUUGAUUUCAACAAAAAUUGAAUAUAUGGGGUUCUUUGAUAUGCUGAAUCUAACCAUGUAUUUAGAUUUUUGAUUUUUGGGCCCCGUUAUCAACUUUGUCCACAUUGAGGUCAAAAGGGUCCAAAAUUAAACUUAGUUUGAUUCUAACAAAAAUUGAAUUCUUGGGGUUCUUUGAUAUGCUGAAUCUAAACAUGUGUUUAGAUUUUUGAUAAUGGGCCCAGUUUUCAAGUUGGUCAAAGUUGGGGUCAAAAUUAAACUUUGUUUGAUUUCAACAAAAAUUGAAUAUAUGGGGUUCUUUGAUAUGCUGAAUCUAACCAUGUAUUUAGAUUUUUUAUUUGUGGACCCAGCUAUCAAAUUGGUUCAUAUUGAGUUCAAAAGGGUCCAAAAUUAAACUUUGUUUGAUUUCAACAAAAAUUGAAUAUAUGGGGUUCUUUGAUAUGCUGAAUCUAACCAUGUAUUUAGAUUUUUGAUUUUUGGGCCCCGUUAUCAACUUUGUCCACAUUGAGGUCAAAAGGGUCCAAAAUUAAACUUAGUUUGAUUUUAACAAAAAUUGAAUUCUUGGGGUUCUUUGAUAUGCUGAAUCUAAACAUGUAUUUAGAUUUUUGAUUUUUGGCCCAGUUUUCAAGUUGGUCCAAAUUGGGGUCCAAAAUUAAACUUUGUUUGAUUUCAACAAAAAUUGAAUAUAUGGGGUUCUUUGAUAUGCUGAAUCUUACCAUGUAUUUAGAUUUUUUAUUUGUUGGCCCGCUAUCAAAU